rnacentral:rRNA from 1 species
GGCGGCGUGCCUAACACAUGCAAGUCGAACGGACCUAUUUUGUGGACACCCUAUGAUUUAUUCGUAGAUUGUCCCUCAUAAUAGGUUAGUGGCGGACGGGUGAGUAACACGUUGGUACCUGCCCUCUAGUGGGGGAUAACUGCCCGAAAGGGUGGCUAAUACCGCAUGUGAUCUACGGAUCAAAGCAGCAAUGCGCUAGAGGAGGGACCUGCGGCUGAUUAGCUAGUUGGUAAGGUAAUGGCUUACCAAGGCGACGAUCAGUAGCUGGAUCGAGAGGUUGACCAGCCACACUGGGACUGAGAUACGGCCCAGACUCCUACGGGAGGCAGCAGUGAGGAAUUUUCCACAAUGGACGAAAGUCUGAUGGAGCAACGCCGCGUGCAGGAAGACGGCUCUCGGGUUGUAAACUGCUUUUAUUUGGGAAGAUUAUGACGGUACCAAAUGAAUAAGGAUCGGCUAACUACGUGCCAGCAGCCGCGGUAAUACGUAGGAUCCAAGCGUUAUCCGGAAUUACUGGGCGUAAAGCGUACGUAGGUGGA